CCCCCCAGGAGAAGUUUACAAAGAAUGUGAUUGAAAGUGCAAAGCAGCAGAUGCCGACGUUAAACUCCAGCUUGAUUUGAGUGUAACGAUCUGAGGAGACGCAGCCCUGAGCCGCCGCCCUCAUUAAUCCCGAAGCAUGCCCCUGGGACCCGAGUUACCCGGCGAGAAUAAACCCAAUGUAGAGUCAUCUUACCUCCGAGCCGGGAGCGCAGCGUUAGAGGAACAAAGGGAAUGUGGAAAUGAAAGAGAGAGGGAGAGAGAGGCUGGCAGAUGUGAUGAGAUGCGGUGAAGGUGUAUCCAGCUUGGCACUCCCACUCCUCUCUUCUCCUCUCAUUGCAGCCCUGGGUGACUCUCAGGCUAACACAAACAGCUUUUCUUCCGCAGCCUGCCCUCUGUCACUGUCACUGAGGAAAGAGAAUUUCAUUGUGUCUGUAAAAGUUUUUGCUUGCUCCCAUCAAGACAGAAUAGGGGUAUGGUUAAGUGCUAUCUUAAAUCUUGAUUGUUUGUCUUUCUUUUUGUGCUCCAUCUUUAAAAUAGCUGAGGUAAAGUAUGUGUGUGUGUGUGUGUAUAUAUAUAUUAGCAUAGGUUAGAAUGUAGACAGGCAUGUUGUUGCACGUUUAGCUGGAGGGACAGAGGAAAUCAUACAUUUAGGUCUUUCCUGCCUCUCAGUGGAGGUGCAGUAAAUGACUGUGAAUGCUUCCAAUGUCACUGUGUAGCAAAGGGAGUUAGCAGAAACCAUACCUCAAACCAUACAGCAUCUUAGCAGAGGGGCAGUAGGUUCUAACAGGGAGAGUGGUGACUUCUUGAGCAAUUCCAGCGAAAUUCAUAAGAGGAGGAACAAAAUAAGCCCCUCAGGGAGCAGUGGGUGCGAUUGCUCAUGGCGCCGAACUGGAAGAGAGGAAAACUUGGCACUAACUGUUGUUGUGAUGCUGCCAUGGACUGAUUACAGACACGUUCCUUUACUCCCAGUCCCCUUCUUUGCUCUCUUGUGUAAGCUACUUAGGCUAUAAGGUAAGGGCUGUCUCUAACUCAGUGUUUACGCCAUGAGUGUUGUAUUCAAAUAUGUUCUAGGAACAAAUACUACGAGUUGCAAAUCUAUGAGCAUGUUGUUUUUAAUUCCGUUGUAUGGAUAUAUGCUUGGAAUCCAUAAGAAGAAUCCACAAGAAGAAUCACAUUUCUGGUGCAGUGUCAGUAAGGUCCAACAUGAUUAAAGCAUUACAGGUUAUUUUUGCCAACUACCAGAGAUUCAUUGAGAGAGAAUGGUGUUGCACAGAUACUUCUAAAAAGCAUUUAUCACUUCAUGACUUUUAAAAUUAGAUGGCCCAACAGUGCUUUUGAGAAAUUUGGAAUGAUACAAAUGGUCACAGUUAUAUAUGUACUUGCAAAAUAUAUAAAAAUUGUGCCACUGAUGUUUUUAUCUCAAUCAGAGUUCAAUUUUCU
rnacentral:lncRNA from 1 species